UACAGAGACGUCGAGCGUUGUUCGGAUUCACUGGGCGUAAAGGGUGCGUAGGCGGUGAGGUAAGUCGGAUGUGAAAUCCCAAGGCUUAACCUUGGAAGUGCAUCCGAAACUACCUCGCUUGAGGACUGGAAGGGAGACUGGAAUUCUCGGUGUAGCGGUGAAAUGCGUAGAUAUCGAGAGGAACACCUGUGGCGAAGGCGGGUCUCUGGGCUGACACUGACGCUCAUGCACGAAAGCGUGGGGAGCAAACAGG
rnacentral:rRNA from 1 species